GCCGUUGUAGCUCAGUUGGUAGAGCAACUCCAUGGUAAGGAGUAGGUCGGAGGUUCGAAUCCUCUCAACGGCUCCA
rnacentral:tRNA from 1 species